GACGAACGCUGGCGGCGUGCUUAACACAUGCAAGUCGAACGGAAAGGCCCUGCUUUUGUGGGGUGCUCGAGUGGCGAUCGGGUGAGUAACACGUGAGUAACCUGCCCUUGACUUUGGGAUAACUUCAGGAAACUGGGGCUAAUACCGGAUAGGAGCUCCUGCUGCAUGGUGGGGGUUGGAAAGUUUCGGCGGUUGGGGAUGGACUCGCGGCUUAUCAGCUUGUUGGUGGGGUAGUGGCUUACCAAGGCUUUGACGGGUAGCCGGCCUGAGAGGGUGACCGGCCACAUUGGGACUGAGAUACGGCCCAGACUCCUACGGGAGGCAGCAGUGGGGAAUAUUGCACAAUGGGCGGAAGCCUGAUGCAGCAACGCCGCGUGCGGGAUGCCGGCCUUCGGGUUGUAACCCGCUUUCGCCUGUGACGAAGCGUGAGUGACGGUAACGGGUAAAGAACCUCCGGCUAACUACGUG
rnacentral:rRNA from 1 species